CUAGAACAAAGACAGCACUUAAUUUUUAUACACACUUCAAAAAGGGGGCAUGCUAGCUUGAAGCAGGCUUACCAUGGUGCAAAAGCAAGGAUACAGAGGCAGAACAAAGACAGUUAAUCAAAUUGUGACAGGCUCAUAACUCAGGAUUACACACCGAGCUGUUCAGCUCCUUGUCACUCAGGACCCCACAGGAGAGGAGGGUGCUGACCUCUGUCUUCCCACCUCAGAAAGCUCCCAUGUAGUGUCAAUGGAAAGGAAGAUUCCCUGUUCAGCCCCCAGUGCCAGCUCUCCCAGCUGCCCAUGCUAAGAUUAGCCCAUCUGCACAGACCACUCCCAUUCCUGUCUUUCCAGCUCCUUACACCAUAUCUGGGCCAAGCUGCAUGCUCAUGGAGGAAUCAGGGGCCAUUCCAAGGUCAUAAGAAGGCACCAUGGUAGGCAUCUGGAGCUCUGGGGUAGGAAGUGGUUGGUCCCUGGAGGAGGGAAGGAGG
rnacentral:lncRNA from 10 species